rnacentral:tRNA from 1 species
GCCAAAGUAGCUCAGUUGGUAGAGCAGCUGAUUUGUAAUCAGCCGGUCGUAGGUUCAAAUCCUAUCUUUGGCU